rnacentral:rRNA from 1 species
AUUGAACGCUGGCGGCAUGCUUUACACAUGCAAGUCGAACGGUAACAGGCCGCAAGGUGCUGACGAGUGGCGAACGGGUGAGUAAUGCAUCGGAACGUGCCCAGUCGUGGGGGAUAACGCAGCGAAAGCUGCGCUAAUACCGCAUACGAUCUAUGGAUGAAAGCGGGGGACCGUAAGGCCUCGCGCGAUUGGAGCGGCCGAUGUCAGAUUAGGUAGUUGGUGGGGUAAAGGCUCACCAAGCCAACGAUCUGUAGCUGGUCUGAGAGGACGACCAGCCACACUGGGACUGAGACACGGCCCAGACUCCUACGGGAGGCAGCAGUGGGGAAUUUUGGACAAUGGGCGCAAGCCUGAUCCAGCAAUGCCGCGUGCAGGAAGAAGGCCUUCGGGUUGUAAACUGCUUUUGUACGGAACGAAACGGUCUGGGUUAAUACCCUGGGCUAAUGACGGUACCGUAAGAAUAAGCACCGGCUAACUACGUGCCAGCCGCCGCCGUAAAAC